UACGUAGGGUGCGAGCGUUAAUCGGAAUUACUGGGCGUAAAGCGUGCGCAGGCGGUUUUGUAAGCCAGAUGUGAAAUCCCCGGGCUUAACCUGGGAAUGGCAUUUGGGACUGCAAGGCUUGAGUGCGGCAGAGGAGACUGGAAUUCCUGGUGUAGCAGUGAAAUGCGUAGAUAUCAGGAGGAACACCGAUGGCGAAGGCGGGUCUCUGGGCCGUUACUGACGCUGAGGAGCGAAAGCGUGGGGAGCGAACAGG
rnacentral:rRNA from 1 species